AUCGAAUGACAGCACUAACAGAGCUUCAGGGACUUUCCAGCAGACUGGAUUUGAGGCCUAUGGUUGCAUCACAUCUUGAAGGAGUUUUAGAGUGUGUGCUUCAAGCAAAAUUCAGGGCAGUGGAGUGGUUCACACUCUUCCCAACUGAUCCAGUUAGCUGAGAUGGGCUUUCUGCCUGGAGUGAGGACGGGCCCUGAGUGUGACAAGUGUGACUGACAGCAGCUGCACGGGUAAGCACUUUAGUGUUUCAGAAUGAUUUCUAUAGUCGAGAUGUGGUUUCU